GGAGAGCUACCCAAGUGGUGAAGGGGCUCCCCUGCUAAGGGAGUAGGGCGCGAAAGUGUCGCGAGGGUUCAAAUCCCUCGCUCUCCGCCA
rnacentral:tRNA from 1 species